rnacentral:hammerhead_ribozyme from 1 species
AUCCAGCUGACGAGUUCCAAAUAGGACAAAACGUGUGUCAAACAGGAU